UUUAGUUAACAGCUAAACGCCCUAACACAACUGGCUUCAAUCCA
rnacentral:tRNA from 1 species